rnacentral:rRNA from 1 species
AUUGAACGCUGGCGGCAGGCCUAACACAUGCAAGUCGAGCGGAUGAAGGGAGCUUGCUCCUGGAUUCAGCGGCGGACGGGUGAGUAGUGCCUAGGAAUCUGCCUGGUAGUGGGGGAUAACGUCCGGAAACGGGCGCUAAUACCGCAUACGUCCUGAGGGAGAAAGUGGGGGAUCCUCGGACCUCACGCUAUCAGAUGAGCCUAGGUCGGAUUAGCUAGUUGGUGGGGUAAAGGCCUACCAAGGCGACGAUCCGUAACUGGUCUGAGAGGAUGAUCAGUCACACUGGAACUGAGACACGGUCCAGACUCCUACGGGAGGCAGCAGUGGGGAAUAUUGGACAAUGGGCGAAAGCCUGAUCCAGCCAUGCCGCGUGUGUGAAGAAGGUCUUCGGAUUGUAAAGCACUUUAAGUUGGGAGGAAGGGCAGUAAGUUAAUACCUUGCUGUUUUGACGUUACCAACAGAAUAAGCACCGGCUAACUUCGUG